CAGUUCUUGUCCGAUCACUGAAGUUAAGCAACCUUGAACCUGGUCAGUAUUUAGAUGGGUGACCAUUUAGGAAUACCAAGUGCUA